CUGUGCUAGACGGGGAGUUAGCGGCGCCCUGUAGCUCGCAAUCCGCUAUAGCGAGGUCGAAUCCCUAUUUGAGGUCUGCACCUGUGGGGGCUGGCCCUAAUAAGUGAUGAGGAUGGUUGGGUCCUACGCAACGGAACUCCAUGAACCCUGUCAGGUCCGGAAGGAAGCAGCAGUAAGUGGACACUUUCGUGUGCCGUGGGGAAGCCUAACCGGAGUUAACUGUUAGGUUACCGCUUGUGGGUGUUUAUCGAGGAUAGGUGCACAG
rnacentral:SRP_RNA from 1 species